UGGGGUGUAGCUCAGUGGUAGAGUGGAUGCCUAGCAUGUGUGAAGCUCUGGGUUCAAUUCCUAGCUCUACAC
rfam:Heterocephalus glaber contig214066, whole genome shotgun sequence.